GUUCUUAGCCAAGUGGUUUACCGCGACAGAGUCAAAAUCUGUUUCUCUUGGACUGUGUAGGUUCAAAACCUGCCGAACG